AGCGCAGGCGGGUUGGCAAGUCCUUGGUGAAAUCCUGAGGCUUAACCUCAGGACUGCCAAUGAUACUGCUGAUCUUGAGUACAGAAGAGGAAGAUGGAAUUCCUGGUGUAGCGGUGAAAUGCGUAGAUAUCAGGAAGAACACCGGUGGCGAAGGCGGUCUUCUGGUCUGUAACUGACGCUCAUGCUCGAAAGCGUGGGGAGCAAACAGGAUUAGAUACCCUGGUAGUCCACGCCCUAAACGAUGGAUACUCGAUGUCGGGUCGCAAGGCCCGGUGUCCAAGCUAACGCGUUAAGUAUCCCACCUGGGGAGUACGAUCGCAAGGUUGAA
rnacentral:rRNA from 1 species